GACGAACGCUGGCGGCGUGCCUAAUACAUGCAAGUAGAACGCACAGUUUAUACCGUAGCUUGCUACACCAUAGACUGUGAGUUGCGAACGGGUGAGUAACGCGUAGGUAACCUGCCUGGUAGCGGGGGAUAACUAUUGGAAACGAUAGCUAAUACCGCAUAAUAUUAAUUAUUGCAUGAUAAUUAAUUGAAAGGUGCAAUUGCACCACUACCAGAUGGACCUGCGUUGUAUUAGCUAGUAGGUGAGGUAACGGCUCACCUAGGCGACGAUACAUAGCCGACCUGAGAGGGUGAUCGGCCACACUGGGACUGAGACACGGCCCAGACUCCUACGGGAGGCAGCAGUAGGGAAUCUUCGGCAAUGAACGAAAGUCUGACCGAGCAACGCCGCGUGAGUGAAGAAGGUUUUCGGAUCGUAAAGCUCUGUUGUAAGAGAAGAACGGGUGUGAGAGUGGAGAGUUCACACUGUGACGGUAUCUUACCAGAAAGGGACGGCUAACUACGUG
rnacentral:rRNA from 1 species